rnacentral:rRNA from 1 species
UACGUAGGGGGCAAGCGUUGUCCGGAUUUACUGGGCGUAAAGCGCGUGCAGGCGGUUAUCCAAGUUGGAUGUGAAAGCCUUGAGCUCAACUCAAGAAAUGCAUUCAGGACUGGGUGACUAGAGGACCGGAGAGGAUAGUGGAAUUCCCGGUGUAGUGGUGAAAUGCGUAGAUAUCGGGAGGAACACCAGUGGCGAAGGCGACUAUCUGGCCUGUUCUUGACGCUGAGGCGCGAAAGCUAGGGGAGCAAACGGG